UACGUAGGUGGCAAGCGUUGUCCGGAAUUAUUGGGCGUAAAGCGCGCGCAGGCGGUCCUUUAAGUCUGAUGUGAAAGCCCACGGCUCAACCGUGGAGGGUCAUUGGAAACUGGAGGACUUGAGUGCAGAAGAGAAGAGCGGAAUUCCACGUGUAGCGGUGAAAUGCGUAGAGAUGUGGAGGAACACCAGUGGCGAAGGCGGCUCUUUGGUCUGUAACUGACGCUGAGGCGCGAAAGCGUGGGGAGCAAACAGG
rnacentral:rRNA from 1 species